rnacentral:rRNA from 1 species
UGGGGAAUAUUGGACAAUGGGCGAAAGCCUGAUCCAGCAAUGCCGCGUGAGUGAUGAAGGCCUUAGGGUUGUAAAGCUCUUUUACCCGGGAUGAUAAUGACAGUACCGGGAGAAUAAGCUCCGGCUAACUCCGUGCCAGCAGCCGCGGUAAUACGGAGGGAGCUAGCGUUGUCCGGAAUUACUGGGCGUAAAGCGCGCGCAGGCGGCUAUCCAAGUCAGUGGUGAAAGCCCGGAGCUCAACUCCGGAACUGCCAUUGAAACUGUUUAGCUUGAGGACGAGAGAGGUGAGUGGAAUUCCCAGUGUAGAGGUGAAAUUCGUAGAUAUUGGGAAGAACACCAGUGGCGAAGGCGGCUCACUGGCUCGUAUCUGACGCUCAGGCGCGAUAGCGUGGGGAUCAAAC